UUGUAAUUAUAUUUCUCCGUCUAACAGUUUUUCUAAUUUUUUUAUCUAACCUAACUUCCAAUGUCAGACCAUGUGUUCUGAUAUUUUAGUUUCAAAUAUAAUUAUCUUUUAAUUUACAUGUAUGCACGUUUAGUAAUCAGAAUUUUAACUAUUCUCAUCUAAAUUUCAUUUGAUUUAUUCUUGUCAUCUGCUACUCUUUCUGACGAUUAGAACGGCAGAUGGCACACGUUGGUUUUUCUUCUUGAUGAUUGAUAUGUGUCUCUAUUUUAUAGUUUUUUGGAAAGAAAUCACUUUUCUCCCUUUGGGAGCUUCAAGCCAUCCACACCGGUGAUGGAACUAAGGCUGACACAAUGGGGACUUUGACAUCCAGACUCCAGCAUCCAACACCUUUAGCUGCAGGGGCCUAGGGCCGAAGAUCCGCCCAGGCCUACGAGAAGUCCACAACGGCAGCACCAUACGACAUCAAGAAGAUACCAUCAGCUACCAAAAGCCAUAAGUAUAAUCCAGAAUUGUUAGUUUUUGGCAAGAAUUUAAAUACAUUUGUUAAUGCAAUUUACUAAGUCAUUUUAUUUAUUAUAUCUUUAUGAACAAUAAACAUGAUUAGUUAAAAACUAUGUUUUGUUUGCUUCCAUUCCAAUUUUCAGAGUUCAUUCUAAGGUUAGGACAAGACGAACACACACCUGAGUGACUGAGCUAAGCUAAGGGUGUAAUGAUGGCUAUCUUGGUUAGUCGAGGUAAUAUUUUCGAAUAUUGUUUCAAUUAGCUGGGGUAGUCCAUCGCUAUUUCGUUUCACUGGCGCCGCAACGUUUCUCAUGUGUGCUUUUUCGUUACACUGGCGCACCAACGCACUUGUCUUAUCCGAAGAAUCGAGCUGUGAGUGUGUGGUUUGGUAGCAGACAACAAGCAUUAAUAAAUACUAUUUUCUUAUAUUUCAUUUUUAUAUUCAAUUUUUGCAGUAAAUCUAUAUAUAUUAUCUAUUUUGGUACUUUUUGACUACCUUUUUGACUGAUUUUUAUAUAUUUUCACAUGUUAUGGGUCAAAAAGUAUUACCAGUUUCAAUAAUUUAAUUAUAUAUUUCAGCAUAAUUGAUUUAAAAUACAUUUACAGUUGCAAAUAUUGGUAUUUUUAACAUUUUGAUAUUUUUACCUACUUUUUUUUGGCAAAUUUUUAUGUUAGAACCUUGAUAGUAAUGUCCACAUGGCAUUUUUUUCUGUUUUUUCAAUUUAACCAGUUUUUUUUGGUAGUUCUUCUUUAAUUACUCUUAUUUUGUUGUAACUUUCCAAAACCCAAGAGAAUUUUUCCAUUUAUUGUCAUAUUUUCUGUACUUUUUAUACGUACUAUUUCUUCCACGUUCUUUUCAUAGGUACUUCUGUGUACUCUAAAGUGCAUUUAAAUCUUGUUUUAUUACUUAUUUUCAAUUACUUUUCACUUAUUCUUAUAUUUCCUAGUUGUUUUCAUAUAUUUAUUACCCAUUUUGUACAACUACCAAAAAUUUUGUUGUUUCCGUCGAACUUUCUGUUCGGAUGGUAUAUACUACUUUACUUGUAUAGUAAAGACUAGGACAAUUUUCAAGUUCUUUUCUUUCAUUGAGGUAUUUUAUUCUUAUUCUUCUUCUUUACGUAUUCAGAAUAUUAAUUUAAAUCAUUCUUCUUCUUCUUGUCUUGAAUCUCAAAAAAUUUUUUGUUCGUGAAGCAUCAUAUUUUACAUUUUUCAAUUUUUUGCAUUAUUGCACUUAUAUUAAUUGUGAUAAACAUUAUAUUUAACAUCUUUUUUAUUUAACAAUGCCCUAUUUAUCUAUAUAUUAUUGUUUUAUUAUUUUAUUUUGGGUGUUGUACUGAUUUUUGAUACAGAUUAGCAUGAAAGCCUCAUCCGGCACUUAUAAGUUGUGUAUGGCUUAUAUAUAGCUGCAUAGACACCUAGUGUUUUUUUUUCCUAGGGUACAUAUAAGUUAUCCAUAGGGUUGGGCCAGAUCUAUUGAGUCUGAGUUCCGUUUUUUUGGUCUUAAUGACUGUUGAUAUACAGUUUAAUGCUGUAUAUUAUUUUUAGGAUGAUGUCUUUUAUAAAUUUUCUCUUUUGAAGUUAAAAUAAUUCUAUGCAUCUCUACUCUUCAUGAGCCUCUGGUGUGGAAUUAUGGCGCUUUGAAGUAUGAUUGUAGUUCAGCUACUAGCAUUUGUUAUUUUCCAUCUUUGCAAAUCAUAUUUAUGCAUUUUUAUACAUAUAUUUUGUUCUCUAGUGUAGAUCCCUGGUAUGCAUUUGAUGGAAGUAACAUUUGAAUUAUGUAUCAUUAUCUCUCUCUCUUUAUUAACUUAUUGGUUAAGUCUUUUAGGACUGGUUUUAUGCAGUUUUUUCAAACCCUUUGGUGUAGAACUUUGUCUUAUUUGGCUUUCCAUAUAGUUGGUACUUAUUUUUUUUAAUGGUUUAUCUAUAGUUGCACUUGCAUUUCUUUUUAUCAUAUUAUACUUAUGUUAUCUUUAUCUACUUAUAUGCUUUUACUCAUCUCAUCAUAUUGAUUAUUAUAUUAUUACCUUACUUUAGGUACUGGUUAUCCGAGUACUUGUUAUUUUGUUUGAGAUUCAGUUGUUAGUAGCUCCAAUAGCUAUUGAUUUAUUUUAUUAAGGAUGUGAUAUCCAUUAUAUUUACUUUUUGGUUAUAUGCCUUUUAUUUUAUAUAGAUACCUGAAUAUUUGCAAUUCAUUUUUAAUAUGUCUACAUUAUUUGACUAUGGUUACUUACUUAUUUGGAUUCUUAGUUAAAUUUGAUUAUUACUUACACUUUAUACUACAUGUCUUUAUAAUUUUGAAUUAAUUUCAUACUUUUUAAAAUACAUUUAUUUUUUUUAUCCAGAGAUAAAUAUUCUCUGAUGUCAUUUAUUUAUAAUGAAUAAAUAUUUUACAGUGUGAUGAAUACUACAAUUCAUUGGGUAAUAUUUUUAUUUUCCCCAGAGUAACAUCUGAAAAUUAUUUUGGUACUUUAAAAUUUUUUAUGAUUAAUAAUUUAAAUUAACUAUAUGCAUUGACUUAAUAUUUACUUUAUUAUGAGUAUUUAUUUUUGAUUUGUUUUGAACGAUUACUACUGCAUAUAUUUAUUUCUGGUUGGAACUUUGUCUUCUUAUUUUCUUUGAGAAAAAUUUCUCACCUGUGUUCGAAAUUUUUCUGAUGAGUGGAGGGAGUGUGUAACAUUCCUGUUUUCUUUGAGAAAAAUUUCUCACGUGUGUUCAAAAUUUUUCUGAUGGGUGAGAGGAGUGUGUAACGUUACAAACGUCACAUCUUUGAUAUUUUGUUUUUAAAUAAUUAUUUUACCUUAUUUCCUUUAAUAUUUCAUUAAUAAUUAUCUUCUUUUAAUUGGUUUACCCAUUUCCCCCUUUAAAAAUCGGUUGGCGCUCAUUUAUUACCUUCUUUUAUUAUCUUCUAUUUAAUAUAUCUCUUUUAUUUAAAUCAUCAUCUGAACAUACUGAACAUACCUCGUAUAUUCAUACUCUCCAAAUAUCUGUAUUUUCAAUACGGAACAUGCCGCUACUUCAUAGUACUUGGUUGUCAUUUUAAAUGUCGUUUUCAAUGACAGUGUCACUUCAUCGACUUGACCACCUACUCCCUGACAUACCUACACUGGAAGGAAAAAAUUAAUCCUUAAAAAGGCAUGUAAUUCGAAAAAUAAAUCAUUUCUAUUUCAACAAAUCAUCUUCCUCUUGGGUUUUUUGGAAAGAAAUCACUUUUCUCCCUUUGGGAGCUUCAAGCCAUCCACACCGGUGAUGGAACUAAGGCUGACACAAUGGGGACUUUGACAUCCAGACUCCAGCAUCCAACACCUUUAGCUGCAGGGGCCUAGGGCCGAAGAUCCGCCCAGGCCUACGAGAAGUCCACAACAGCAGCACCAUACGACAUCAAGAAGAUACCAUCAGCUACCAAAAGCCAUAAGUAUAAUCCAGAAUUGUUAGUUUUUGGCAAGAAUUUAAAUACAUUUGUUAAUGCAAUUUACUAAGUCAUUUUAUUUAUUAUAUCUUUAUGAACAAUAAACAUGAUUAGUUAAAAACUA